rnacentral:tmRNA from 3 species
GGGGAUGCAUUGCAUCGACAAGAUUGCACUUUAAAAAACAGCAAGCCGACAACGAUCAAACGUCGUAAAACUGAUCAAAAAUUAAAUGCUAGCAAUAAAAUGCCAGCGUUCGCUUUUCGACAAGCGUAUUUAUACGCUUAAGACAAGCUGAACUGUUUAUGAAGUCUUUUCUCAACGGGACUUUAUAAGCAUAACUACAGUUGAGAGAUGGUGAGGGCAGUUGGUUUCUAUCCUUAUUGUAUUUAUCAACCUUGACGCUAUUAAUUCUUGUUGAUUAGAAAAAAAUAGCGCGACACAAAAUAAUCAACUAAGCUUGUAGAAGUUUUUAUAGUAAUUUCUUGGACUCGAGCUCACAGCUCGACAUCUCCACUC